CGAAGCAACGCGAAGAACCUUACCAGGCCUUGACAUGCAGAGAACUUUCAGAGAUGGAUUGGUGCCUUCGGGAACUCUGACACAGGUGCUGCAUGGCUGUCGUCAGCUCGUGUCGUGAGAUGUUGGGUUAAGUCCCGUAACGAGCGCAACCCUUGUCCUUAGUUACCAGCACGUUAUGGUGGGCACUCUAAGGAGACUGCCGGUGACAACCGGAGGAAGUGGGGAUGACGUCAAGUCAUCCAUGGCCCUUACGGCCUGGGCUACACACGUGCUACAAUGGUCGGUACAAAGGGGUUGCCAAGCCGCGAGGUGGAGCUAAUCCCAUAAAACCGAUCGUAGUCCGGAUCGCAGUCUGCAACUCGACUGCGUGAAGUCGGAAUCGCUAGUAAUCGUGAAUCAGAAUGUCACGGUGAAUACGUUCCCGGGCCUU
rnacentral:rRNA from 1 species